GACGAACGCUGGCGGCGUGCCUAAUACAUGCAAGUCGAGCGGACUGAUGGGAGCUUGCUCCCUGAAGUUAGCGGCGGACGGGUGAGUAACACGUGGGCAACCUGCCUGUAAGACUGGGAUAACUUCGGGAAACCGGAGCUAAUACCGGAUAGUUUCUUUCUUCACAUGAAGAGAGAUGGAAAGACGGUUUACGCUGUCACUUACAGAUGGGCCCGCGGCGCAUUAGCUAGUUGGUGAGGUAACGGCCCACCAAGGCGACGAUGCGUAGCCGACCUGAGAGGGUGAUCGGCCACACUGGGAGCGAGACACGGCGCAGACUCCUACGGGAGGCAGCAGUAGGGAAUCUUCCGCAAUGGACGAAAGUCUGACGGAGCAACGCCGCGUGAGUGAAGAAGGUUUUCGGAUCGUAAAACUCUGUUGUCAGGGAAGAACAAGUACCAGAGUAACUGCUGGUACCUUGACGGUACCUGACCAGAAAGCCACGGCUAACUACGUGCCAGCCGCCGCCGUAAAAC
rnacentral:rRNA from 1 species